CCGUUCUCAACGGGGUGCAUUACCAAAAGUAAGGCUGAGAUAAUACCCGUCGAACCUGAACUGAUUAGUCGCAGCGGAGGGAUUUGAGAAGCAGCUUGCU
rnacentral:ncRNA from 2 species